rnacentral:rRNA from 1 species
UGUAGUCAUAUGCUUGUCUCAAAGAUUAAGCCAUGCAUGUCUAAGUAUAAGCAAUUAUACGGCGAAACUGCGAAUGGCUCAUUAUAUAAGUUAUCGUUUAUUUGAUAGCACUUUUCUACUCGGAUAACUGUGGUAAUUCUAGAGCUAAUACGUGCUGAAAACUCCGACUUCGGAAGGAGUGUAUUUAUUAGAUUAAAAACCAAUGCCCUUCGGGGCUUAGUGGUGAUUCAUGAUAACUUCUCGAAUCGCAUGGCCUUGCGCCGGCGAUGGUUCAUUCAAAUUUCUUCCCUAUCAACUUUCGAUGCGAGGGUAUUGUCCUCGCAUGGUUACAACGGGUAACGGAGGGUUAGGGCUCGACCCCGGAGAAGGAGCCUGAGAAACGGCUACUACAUCCAAGGAAGGCAGCAGGCGCGCAAAUUACCCAAUCCCGACACGGGGAGGUAGUGACAAUAAAUACUGAUACAGGGCUCUUUUGGGUCUUGUAAUCGGAAUGAGUACAAUUUAAAUCUCUUAACGAGGAACAAUUGGAGGGCAAGUCUGGUAAUCG